UGUACUGGAAUGCCUGAGUGGUCUAAAGGUGCCAGACUCAAGGGCAAACCUUAUCCCAUAUCGAAAGUUGUGUGGUCUGGUCCACAAGUGUGGGCGUGGGUUCAAAUCCCAAUUUGACAA